AAUCAACGCUGGCGGCGUGCCUAAUACACGCAAGUCGAACGCGAAAGUCCCGCAAGGGGGCAAGUAGAGUGGCAAACGGGUGAGUAACGCGUGGGCGACCUACCUUCGAGUGGGGGGAUAACCUUCCGAAAGGAGGGCUAAUACCGCAUGACAUCCCGUGUUUGGAUACACGGACAUCAAAGUCGGGGAUCGCAAGACCUGACGCUUGGAGAGGGGCCCGCGUCCGAUUAGCUAGUUGGUGGGGUAACGGCCCACCAAGGCUUCGAUCGGUAUCCGGCCUGAGAGGGCGGACGGACACACUGGGACUGAGACACGGCCCAGACUCCUACGGGAGGCAGCAGUGGGGAAUCUUGCGCAAUGGGCGAAAGCCUGACGCAGCGACGCCGCGUGAGGGAUGACGGCCU
rnacentral:rRNA from 1 species